GAUUGUUAAUUCUAAGCCAGAGGAAAGCUGGAUAGGGUGAACUGUUCAUUUAUCGAACAACUUUUCAUUUUCCGUGCAAGAAAUGUUCGUGCCUUAAGUCUUUUGUUGACUUAAUUUGCAUAGUCAUCUUUCAGUUCUUUUUUGAUUAAUUUUAAUAGGCAAACAUUUCAAAUGAAUGCAACGCUAUGAAACAAAUUAUGUUCUUGCUUCCAUUCUUCCCGAAUAGUAAAUAGAAGAUUUGUUUUCGUUUCGUUAUCUUUUAGAAAGGGAAAAAUCCUUAGACUUUUGUUCCCGUUUUGUUCUGGAGAUUUUUCUUCCCAUUUUGUUCUCUUAGAAAUGUUCCCGAAAGUAUUUUUCGAAUUUUUUUCCUUUGGGAACGCUUCACAGGGUGCUUAUUAUUCUUGUUGAGAACGUUCUCGACAGUUUUUUCCCACUUUAGUUUGGUUUUUAAGCGAUCUUAAGAACAAAAGUACGAGAACGACAUUUAAUUCCGAUCAUAUCUUAUGUUCAGGGUCCCUGGGUUGUAGUCCCUUUGAGCAUAAAAUGCAUACAUACGUACAUGCACUAUAUUUGAAUUUGUGACAAAAAAGUAUAAUGUUAGCUGGUGGAGGAAAAUUCUCCUAGGGUUUCACUAUCAGUUCCCAAACUACUAAACCAACACAACUCCCAAAAUCCCACACAAACUCUUGCACGUUUGGCCUUUAAGCACACUUUUACUCGCUUUAACUCGCACGUUAUUCAAUUUAGCUACUUUUGUAGGCAAUGUAAACACUUCGUGCUAAAAAUCCUCUACUUGUAAGCAUCACCAAGCAUUUAUUUAGCCAAUAUUAUCAAUUAUGAUAUAUAUAUGUAUGUAUAUAAUAAUUUAAGAUAAUCAUCAGUAUCGCCUAAUUAAACUAUAUUUAAGUUAAUAAUCUGCCUACACUUUUUUAGUAAUCACAAAAAUUCUACCUUUUCUCUGUUUUUCUUUCCCUUCGAUUAUCUUCUGCAGGUUCAGCGCCGCUUGGUUUCUAUACGCCUGUGAAAGCACCCAUCGAUAACCUCUUUCAAUUGGGCGUAACGCGUGCACCUAACGGUAAUGGACAUCACGCCUACAAUAAAACAUCAACGCCCACAACCAAUGGUACCACCGCCACACAAAAUGGUCAAAGUAAUGGUGGUGGUGGUGGUGGUGGUGUCAACAGCAAUGGUAGCAACAAUGGCGGUGGUAACAGUGAAGGUGGCGCAGACGAGGGCGAGGAGACAGCCGAAAGUUUGCAAUACAUCAAGCCGGCGAAUGAUGAUCUCACCAUAGCGUACAGUGAAGGCACGCAGAAGACAGAUUUGCUAUAUUGAAUUGGAACGAAACCGGGCGAAGCAGGACGAGCAGUGGUAAACAGCGCAGCCGCAAAGCAGAAAAGUAGGCAAUCGAGCGUAAAAAAGGGGUUUGAGGAAGCUGAUUAUUUGAAAAGUAGCGUGCAACUGCAAGGCAGCAGUAUUCAGUGGAUUUUUUUUGCAGCCGAAGAGAGAGAGAGAGCUUUGCUUCCUGUGGCCGGCAGCAGUCGCACGUAUGCAGGGCAGGAGCAGUGUUGCACAUUUUGAAAAUUGUUCAUAUUGGAGCAACACACAAGUUAUAUAGUAAGCUAGUUUAUAAGUCGUCUAGGCGUGCAUUUUUCUUUAAUAAUUAUAUUUAGCAUUUUUUUAUUUUAUGAUUUUUUUUGUUCUUUACUCUUGCGAUAAUAAUUUAGUAAUAUGCAGUUUUUUUUGUUUGAUAAAUACUAUAUUCCAUUGCACUUUUUAUGUGUGCUUGUAAAAUUAAUGCAAUGCAAAUUUUUUGUCUGUUAUUAAUAUAAAAACAAAAAAAAUUUAAAAAUACAAAAAAAAAUUAUGAAUAAAUAAUAAAAAAGUCUGUUUAGCUUACAGAGAAAUUCCGAAAAUUAAUUGUAAUAGAUAUACUUCAUAUGUUGUGUAUGUAGCAUUAGAGCGUGGCGCCAAAAAAGCAUAUAUGCUGUAGUGAUAAAGAGAAUGCAAACAAAAGAAAAUGGCAUCUAAAAAAACCGAUUGCAAAUUUAAAGUCAAGAAAUAAGUAAAAAAAAAAUGUUGCGCACGAGAGCUUUGCAAGUAUUGUAUGUAUGUAGCAGCUGUAUAAAAAAAAGUUAUAUAUUAAAUUUUUUAAGUUGAAAACCCCGUAUCUAUCAUAAAAUAGAAGAAUAUUUUCCCAAUUUUCCCAAUUUAAAAUAAGGGACCGAUAAUUAACAUUAAAUAUCAAGAUUUUUAUAUUUAGAUCAUUGCAAAAUCGUUAUUA